rnacentral:rRNA from 1 species
CCUACGGGAGGCAGCAGUGAGGAAUAUUGGUCAAUGGGCUUACGCCUGAACCAGCCAAGUCGCGUGAGGGAAGACUGCCCUAUGGGUUGUAAACCUCUUUUGUCAGGGAGCAAUUGGCGCUACGUGUAGCGUUAUCGAGAGUACCUGAAGAAAAAGCAUCGGCUACCUCCGUGCCAGCAGCCGCGGUAAUACGUAGGAUGCGAGCGUUAUCCGGUUUUAUUGGGUUUAAAGGGUGCGUAGGCGGAAUGCCAAGUCAGCGGGAAAAUCGCGGGGCUAAACCUCGCAUCGCCGUUGAUACUGGCGUGCUUGAGUGGGCGAGAGGUAUGCGGAAUGCGUGGUGUAGCGGUGAAAUGCAUAGAUAUCACGCAGAACUCCGAUUGCGAAGGCAGCAUACCGGCGCCCAACUGACGCUGAAGCACGAAAGCGUGGGUAUCGAACAGGAUUAGAUACCCCAGUAGUC